rnacentral:rRNA from 1 species
UACGUAGGUGGCAAGCGUUGUCCGGAUUUACUGGGCGUAAAGAGCGCGCAGGCGGUCGAUCAAGUCGCGUGUGAAAGCCCCCGGCUCAACUGGGGAGGGUCACGCGAUACUGAUCGACUCGAAGGCAGGAGAGGGUAGUGGAAUUCCCGGUGUAGUGGUGAAAUGCGCAGAUAUCAGGAGGAACACCAAUUGCGAAGGCAGCUCGCUGGGACGUUACUGACGCUGAGACGCGAAAGCGUGGGGAGCAAACAGG